rnacentral:rRNA from 1 species
UAGUCCACGCCGUAAACGAUGUCAACUAGCCGUCGGGCUCAUUAUAAGGGUUUGGUGGCGCAGCUAACGCGCUAAGUUGACCGCCUGGGGAGUACGCCGGCAACGGUAAAACUCAAAGGAAUUGACGGGGGUCCGCACAAGCGGGGGAGCAUGUGGUUUAAUUCGAUGAUACGCGAGGAACCUUACCUAGGCUAGAAUGCUUUUGGACCGAUGCCGAAAGGUGUUUUUCUCUUCGGAGACCGAUUGCAAGGUGCUGCAUGGUUGUCGUCAGCUCGUGCCGUGAGGUGUUGGGUUAAGUCCCGCAACGAGCGCAACCCCUAUCCUUAGUUGCCAGCGGGUAAUGCCGGGGACUCUAGGGAAACUGCCUACGCAAGUAGUGAGGAAGGCGGGGACGACGUCAAAUCAUCAUGGCCCUUACGCCUAGGGCUACACACAUGCUACAAUGGUCAGUACAAUGGGUAGCGACAUAGUGAUAUGAAGCCAAUCUCAAAAAGCUGAUCUCAGUUCGGAUUGGAGU